rnacentral:rRNA from 1 species
GACGAACGCUGGCGGCGUGCUUAACACAUGCAAGUCGAGCGGUAAGGCCCUUUCGGGGGUACACGAGCGGCGAACGGGUGAGUAACACGUGGGUGACCUGCCCUCAGCUCUGGGAUAAGCCUGGGAAACUGGGUCUAAUACUGGAUAUGACUCCACGGUGCAUGUCGUGGGGUGGAAAGCCUUGUGCGGCUGAGGAUGGGCCCGCGGCCUAUCAGCUUGUUGGUGGGGNGAUGGCCUACCAAGGCGACGACGGGUAGCCGGCCUGAGAGGGCGACCGGCCACACUGGGACUGAGACGCGGCCCAGACUCCUACGGGAGGCAGCAGUGGGGAAUCUUGCGCAAUGGGCGAAAGCCUGACGCAGCGACGCCGCGUGAGGGAUGACGGCCU